rnacentral:rRNA from 1 species
AACGAACGCUGGCGGCAUGCCUAACACAUGCAAGUCGAACGAGACCCUUCGGGUCUAGUGGCGCACGGGUGCGUAACGCGUGGGAACCUGCCCCUUGGUUCGGAAUAACACAGAGAAAUUUGUGCUAAUACCGGAUGAUGUCCUCGGACCAAAGAUUUAUCGCCGAGGGAUGGCCCGCGUAGGAUUAGCUUGUUGGUGGGGUAAUGGCCUACCAAGGCGACGAUCCUUAGCUGGCUGAGAGGAUGAUCAGCCACCACUGGGACUGAGACACGGCCCAGACUCCUACGGGAGGCAGCAGUGGGGAAUAUUGGACAAUGGGCGAAAGCCUGAUCCAGCAAUGCCGCGUGA